CGCCUUGCUGGGGAAGCGGGGGUUUAGCUGGGGGAAGCCCACGACUCGCCCCGCGGCAGCUCCGCAGAGGGGAAGCCCACCCCGUCGCUAGCGGUGGGACAGGCGGCCGCUGCGGCCUCCGCGCCGCGACCGCUGGCGAAGGCUGAAACAGCUCCUUCCCUGGCAUCGCACGCACCGCUCCGCGCCGGCAGCGGCUUCGGGAGGCCACGCUCUUCCCCUCCGAAACAAAAGCCGGACUCCCUGGUAAUCCCUCUGUUACAGGUGUUCCCGCUAGGACCUCGGGUGAACGGCAUCUCCGGCGUACUGGGCUCCGUUCUGCUACCCCCGGCCAGGGGGAAGGUACGGAAGUCUUCACUGAAAGGCAAAGUUUCUCGCUGGUUUUUGCCCAGGUGCCGGGGGAGGCUGACGGCCACACGCCUCUGUAGCUGGGUGGGCUGCAGUUUAACAACUGCACUUCCUAAGCCGAGUUCGUGUAGCUGCGGUCGGUCAAGAAAUGCAAAAUUGCAUAGGGAGGAUCAAUAUUAUUUAUUAAACCAGGUGGCAUAUUUAUCAACAUUUGAUGCGUAUACAAAUACUUCAGACAAGCAGGUGCGAUAAGGGGACAGACUAAUCCUUCACCGUGGAUUUUUCUUACUGAGGAACGAAGCCUUGAACCUGUGUCUCCCUGAGAUGCGCCCUUAACAUUCAGCAAGUAAAUCCUGCACCCAGCAUAGUUACCCGCCCCAAGGAUGGUGCUUCGCCAUCGUCACAGCUCCAGCCAGAAAGCAGUGUAACGGACACCUUGGCCAGCCCUCUGAGGGGUGGAAGACGCGAGCUAAGUCCCAGAAGGCUGAGGUGGAGACCUAAACCCUGGACAUGCUCCAAGUACCAGUCCCAAACGGACACCUACCACAGACCACGCGUGGCCCUCAGAGCUUCUCCUUCCUCCGCGCUCUGGCUGCGGCAGCGCCUGCAAGGGCCCGUUUCUGAGCCACCCAGUUCUCUCCCCCACCUCCUGGAGACAGAUGCUCAACUUGCCAACGUCCUGGAGGUGUAGAGUUCAACUAUCAAAACCCCAGAGAACAUAUCUCUCAAUUGAGAUUUACUGUCUCCGUUUGCAUGGUGGCAGGGGAACCACGUUCUGAGAUUAAGAGGUCCAAGCUACCUCUCAGUAAUACGAUACCAGGUAUCGAAAGUCUCACAUCUAACACCUCAUGGAAUUUUGGCAUCAUUGUAACUAUAUGGCAAUGAUGCCACUUGGUUCUCAAGCAUUACUUUUCAUCCACAGAAGCUGGAAUGAACGUUUGUAGUCCUUUCAUUGAUCUAUAUACAUUUUAAUGUUUUAAAUUGGACCGCAUGAAAAGGGAUCUACUUAGUUUGGAAGUGUCUGUAUACUGUAAAUAAAGAAAUAAAGUGAAAAAACAACCCCCACCCAAAACAGCAGAACCAUGCGCUAGUCUGACUGCUUGCCCCCACCCCCCACCCCAAACACCCCCUGGAAAUGCUGCCAAGAAAUUACAACUGAAUACAUAAGCCCUCUGAAGAUCCAAGACAUCCCCAGCCCUUCUCGGAGCUGUGGAACAUGAUGUGGCAUUUAACUGUCUUUCGGAUUUCUCAAGUUAAAGCCGUGCUGAUAAAAUGCCACUGAUCCCCUCCCACAUGAAAGUCAAGCUGCAUUUCGGAUGCAAAUGUUCUUAUCCCCCUCUUAGCCAAAGAGUAACUUACACGUAACAGGUACAUAACACGGCAGCUGUUGAAGGACCCAAAAAGCAGGCAUUGAGGAUUCAGCAUGCAACAUCUCACUGAUAUCCAUACCAACUACGCUCUGCUUGCCAAUAAAACCAGCGGUUCUGGAAAAGUAUCUAUCUUGGAUCUUCCCAUCUUCCUCCUGCCACAAAGAGGAGAUUUGGAAAGCCAAAUGAGGUGUCCGGGUGCCGCUACACCUUUCACACUCAGAUUGUGCCCUCGCUGAAGCACUUGGUGUAUUUGCUAUGGAGAGCAUAAGGUGGUUCACAGCUCACCUGCCAACAGGGCAAAAGAAGGAAGGAGGUCAGCAGGGUUUGGGAAUUGGGGCAAUUUCACACUGCUGGCAGUUGCUGGAAAUAAUACCGUUUGCAAACUGUCUAUAUAGAAACAUUGAAUUGGCACUUUGGGGUGCAGUGUUUUGUGGGAGAGUUGAACUAAAAUUUGUAACUUCUGUUCUCUGGAAAUGCUGUUUGUGUUUCAUGGAACAUUAAUACACCUCUGGUUACAUCAAGCGCUGAAAACCAGCGACAAUCUAGGGCAAAGUUAGCUGUGUAAAAAUACGGCAUGCAAAGCAGGAAGCUAUCUUAAGUACUUAAUCUAUGGUCUCACAGCGUGACCUAUAUUUUUUCCACUGAACCUUCCGAAAAGGCAAGGGGUUUUGUUUCAUGACGAAGUUUAUACAUUAUCUUGGAUUAACAUCAUGGUUAUGUUCCAGUGGUGCAUUUUCAAGGAUCAUUGAACAUUCAUGGACAUUUACAGGUAAAUUGAGCAGACACACAAACCCCUCCCGAUGCUGAUUUUUGGUGAAUUUCUGGAAAAGCUCCUGGACAUCCAUUUCUAGGAAGUGCUAAACCACUGGUACUUUCUGGACAGCGCAGGACCACAGAACCGAUGCAAUGCUAAUCCUGA